rnacentral:misc_RNA from 1 species
GAUGAAGAACGUAGCGAAAUGCGAUAAGUAAUGUGAAUUGCAGAAUUCAGUGAAUCAUCGAAUCUUUGAACGCACAUUGCGCCCCUUGGUAUUCCGAGGGGCAUGCCUGUUCGAGCGUCAUUAUAACCCCUCAAGCUCAGCUUGGUGUUGGGGCCUGCUGCACUGGCAGCCCUUAAAAUCUGUGGCGGCGCCAUCUGGCUCUAAGCGUAGUAAUUCUUCUCGCUAUGGAGUCCUGGUGGAUGCUUGCCAUCAACCCCCAAUUUUUCUAUGGUUGACCUCGGAUCAGGUAGGGAUACCCGCUGAACUUAAGCAUAUCAAUAAGCGGAGGA